rnacentral:rRNA from 1 species
AUUGAACGCUGGCGGCAUGCCUUACACAUGCAAGUCGAACGGCAGCACGGGUGCUUGCACCUGGUGGCGAGUGGCGAACGGGUGAGUAAUAUAUCGGAACGUACCUUAUUGUGGGGGAUAACGCAGCGAAAGCUGUGCUAAUACCGCAUAAUCCCUAAGGGGGAAAGCGGGGGACCGUAAGGCCUCGCGCAAUUAGAGCGGCCAAUACCUGAUUAGCUAGUUGGUGAGGUAAAGGCUCACCAAGGCAACGAUCAGUAGCUGGUCUGAGAGGACGAUCAGCCACACUGGGACUGAGACACGGCCCAGACUCCUACGGGAGGCAGCAGUGGGGAAUUUUGGACAAUGGGGGCAACCCUGAUCCCGCAAUGCCGCGUGAGUGAAGAAGGCCUUCGGGUUGUAAAGCUCUUUUGUCAGGGAAGAAACAGCAGCUCUAACACAGUUUGCGAAUGACGGUACCUGAAGAAUAAGCACCGGCUAACUACGUGCCAGCAGCCGCCGUAA